rnacentral:sRNA from 1 species
AUGGUUACUCACAGUUUAAGCUUUGCCGGCACGAACCCCAUGGACUCUUGAUCCCUAUGUGGUAACUUAGGAAACUUGGUGCUUAUAAGAGUAAGUUCUCCUGGGUUUCUAAGAAUAAGGCUUAAAUACCCUUUCUCUAAAGAGCCAAGAAAAGAUGCCACCUUUACUGUCAGUCCAAGGAGACUGGAGAUGUUGCUUACAUGAAACAACUGGUGCAUGAUGGAACGCGCUGUUCUUACAAAGAUCCAUAUAGCAUAUGUGUGCGAGGAGAGUGUGUGAAAGUGGGCUGUGAUAAAGAAAUUGGUUCUAAUAAGGUUGAGGAUAAGUGUGGUGUCUGUGGAGGAGAUAAUUCCCACUGCCGAACCGUGAAGGGGACAUUUACCAGAACUCCCAGGAAGCUUGGGUACCUUAAGAUGUUUGAUAUACCCCCUGGGGCUAGACAUGUGUUAAUCCAAGAAGACGAGGCUUCUCCUCAUAUUCUUGCUAUUAAGAACCAGGCUACAGGCCAUUAUAUUUUAAAUGGCAAAGGGGAGGAAGCCAAGUCGCGGACCUUCAUAGAUCUUGGUGUGGAGUGGGAUUAUAACAUUGAAGAUGACAUUGAAAGUCUUCACACCGAUGGACCUUUACAUGAUCCUGUUAUUGUUUUGAUUAUACCUCAAGAAAAUGAUACCCGCUCUAGCCUGACAUAUAAGUACAUCAUCCAUGAAGACUCUGUACCUACAAUCAACAGCAACAAUGUCAUCCAGGAAGAAUUAGAUACUUUUGAGUGGGCUUUGAAGAGCUGGUCUCAGUGUUCCAAACCCUGUGGUGGAGGUAACAAUUGAACACAUUUAUUAUAUUAAAAUGUAAUGCAUAUAAAAACCAA